rnacentral:lncRNA from 1 species
UGUAUUUGUAACAAGGAAACAAAUUUAUUGAUUUUAAAAGACAAGACACCAUUUUGUUUUGAAAAACACAAGAAAGCUAGCCUGAGUUCAAGUCUGAAAUAUUCAGAAAAAUCCUACUAAUAUCUUUAGUAUGUUCCAGUCAUUUGUUUAAACAACACACUAAAAGUUAAUAUAUAUUUUUAUAAUUAUAAAAGUUCCCCAGUUAUUGUACAGUACACAAUACAAAUCGCCCACAAACUAUUAUUUAGCUCCUGCCAAUUUUGAGAGGACAUGAUAUACUAAAAGAUUUAGCAUUUCUCACAAAAAUCACAUCAGGAAAUACGUAUUUACAAAAUCAAAUACAUUAUACAAAAAACCAUCACAUGUUAUUCGGUAAAGAUGUUUUUAAAUAAUUAAAAAGUUUAUUCAACUGUAGUCCAAAAACUGGAAAAGAACAUUACAUUAUCUCACACAUACAAUCUCUACAAAAGUUGCUUACCUCAUUUACAUAAUAUAUUCAGUCGAUUGUAAAAUAAAUGUUCCAAUAUCUCCUAGUGUUACUAUGUUUCUGUGCUUGUGGGACUGAAUAAUGUAAUCUGCCACUUACUAAGUGAAAUUUAAAUGAUGGCACUUAAAAAAAAAUACAGUAUUUUAAAAAAACACAAUGAAAGAAGUUUUACCUAGAAGGUACGAAAGCCCUGAGUGAUAGUGGAAUUACUGAUUGGUAAGCACUACAAUUAACCUAAUUAAACGUUUACCACCCCAGGCACAAAUUUCCAAGUGUUCUCAAGGCACUCACUUAAGUUUCUGUAACCAAUGCAUUGGUCACCACCAUAGGUCCCAAUCGAUGAUGGAGAUGAGUAGAGAAAAAAAUUUGCUUUGGUACAAAAGAUGUUUUUUUAAAUGAAUACAAUUCAAUACCUCCUUUAUUGGGUCGUUUAAAAUUGUGUUUAGCAGGUUAAAACAAAGCAAUCAUUUGUUCAAAACUAUUAAUUCACUGAAGGAAAAAUUUACUUGGUUAUCAGCAGUCAAUGGGAGUUUUUCUUUUCUUCUUUCCUCCCCAGAAUCAUAAUUCUUCUAACAAAGAUUUGUGGUCCUCAUUAUUGAGCUACAUGAACAAUUCUUACCAAAGAUUUCAUUACUCAGGGCUUCCAAUCCCAAGAUCAUAAUUUAUUUAAAAAACAAAGGAAAGAGGGGAAAGAAAAGAAUCAAAUACCAGAACCAAAUGAAAGAAGAGACAAAACACGUUUCUGAAAAUAAGACGUAUUACCAAUUACUUCAAACAAAAGAAAAAAAAUCCUAGGCAGUCACUUUGUAAGUGGCUUUUACUAUUUAAGUAAAAUUGGUAAACUAAACUCAGGUCUACUGGCACAUAAAAUCACUAGCAGCAAUGAUCAAGGCAUGCAAACUGAGAAGCAUUUACAGUAAAUCAUCAUGAAGAAUUCAAAAGAAGAGAGUUAAAUUAAAACCCUUUGAGUAUUGCAUGUUAACACAUGAGUAAUUUGCAUGGUUUGACUUCCUAAACUGCCUAAAAAAAGCAACGUUGACGGCAAACUUGCACUAUGCUAUGGAUGUCCUUUCACCAGACAUCGGAAUAGGUUACACUCUCACGAGCGCCAGGCCAGGGCAGCGCAAGCGCAUCUGCAGAUGACACUGCUCUCCUGUUCCAUCACGCAGGGGACAGAGGGGUAUCAGAAGCAGUAGUCAUAGCAUCUCCUGACAGAUGAGCUUAAAAUCAAGUGCUUUGCUCUCCAUUCUAUCAAUGUAGAAUUUUUUGACAAAGUAUUAAAGUUUUGGAGCAUAGAUAAAAUUAUGCCCUGUAUGAAAUUCCCAAACAGUAUUUGAUGAGAGAUCUAACUCCAGAUAGCUUACCUGCCCUCGAAGAGUUCAGCUUUUCUUUAUCCACUUGAACUCGUUUCUUCCUAAGGCUUCACUUACAAUUGUACUUUCUAAAGCUAAAUAAACGAGAUCUUUUGUUUUGUUUUGGAAAAAAAAAAAGAGAAAGAAACGUAACCCUUUCUUUAUCAUACCUUUUAAAGGCAAUCUAGGUACUUCCAAUGUGCAGAUCAGUUAUGACAUGGGUCUACAGGCCCAUGUGUUUGUCCUCCUUUUCUAGAGUCAUGAUGUGAUGCUAGAAAAGUUGAUUUGUUUUUUUCUGUAAACAGCACACUUACUUAGAUGGCAGUGAAUAUUUGGGAAUAAAUAUAUCAAGCCCUCUUGAAGAAAAUUAAGAGUUGUAUAUAAAAUGCAAGUGUCCAGCGUGGAAACACUUUCUCUUCCUACCCCCCCUUUAAAAAAACAGCAUAAUUAGACAUUUGGAUAUAGAGUAUAUUUUACCGGUCUAAGUCUAAAUAAAUGAUCUGAAAGGCUUUUGUCCCCCAUUGUAUAUCUUACAAUGCUCAAAGGGUUAAUACAAGGCAUUACAUCAAAGGGGUUUUCUAAUACUAGAACAAAGCACUGAAUUAAUGCUUCUAUUCCGGUUUUUAAAAAAAUCACCAAACUUGCAGAAAUACUAGGAUUCCAUUAAUUGAUCUGUUCUAACCAUAUACAUGGAGGUUGAUCUGAUCUAGUGACAAGCCCAAUUGUCAAUAGCACUGCAUGUCAACCCCUCUCCCCCAUGUUCUGAUGGGAUUCAUACAAAUCACCAGUUCUGAUUGCAAUGUUUCAAUGGCUGUUAUUUUCUCACCAAGGAUUCGGGGGAGGGGAAGUUAUAACAAAGGUCAAUUUGUUGUAUCUAACCACUGCCUCAAGUUGUACACAAAGGUGACUUGCCGAAGUUUUUUACUUUCUACUUGUGUCCACACAGGGAGGACCAACAUCACAGUGACACACAUUUUCUUCCUUUUACACUAAUGUUUCAAGCACAGCAUUAUUUUAGACAUUUCAAAUAUAUCAUAUGAAGAAUUUUUUUAAAAUUUGAAAAUGCAUCACGUUUAGCACUUCUCGAGAGUGCAUUCAUGUACAAAGGUUCCUGAUUACGGUCACGAAACCGUAUUCAUUCCUGAAUGACUCUGACAGCAUUCUACAAGAACGCGCUCAUUUUUACUCGUCUACUACAAAUCAAAGGCAGUCAAUGUUGCACACUAAUUUUAGGUAUGCAGUGUUAAAACCAUUUUCUAAAAUUUACUUUUGUUUUUAAAGUACACCAUCUAAAGAGAGGUGCAUGAACCGUGCUAUACAGUACAAGAAAAAGCACAAAAAGGAAAGCAGAUUUCUGAAAAGGCAGUAAGACUUAUACAGUCAGUCCAAACACAGUUUGGAUGAGAAUCCUGAAAAAAGUGACCAGCCACUUGAUACUCAAAGAAAAAUUUUAAAAUUUGGGCCCUGUGUUCCAAGGAGAUGGUUCACCCAUUUCACCCUAUUGUUCACUGGCUUCACGAAUGCAAAUCUUUUGGGUAUGAUUCUCAAAGUGUAUGUGAAGAUCAAACUAUGCCCACGAUACUCAAUCCUACUACAUGGAAAUAUCUUUCUGAAAAUUAAAAAUAGCCAACAUACCUUCCUUACAUUUUUCCUCACUCAAAGUGUAGUACUUGGUCUAUGCAGAUAUUUUUCAUGACAAGUGUUUGAUUACACUGCCAAGAAAUAUUAAUAAGUCCUUAAAAUGUGUGCUUGUCACUUGUCAAUAAAUUUACUCUGAGAGUAUUGGUGUCUAAUGUGAUUUAGAAAAGUCACAGUUUCAAUGAAUGAAAAAAAUGGAAAGAAAAUGUUCAAUAAAUGCAAUAAAUGUGAUUGCUCCAAUUUGCUCAAAUGUAUAAAUUAUGUUUUUAUUUUCUAAUAUAUUUUACAACUCAAACUCAAAAUCAGCUAGGAUGUUUGUGUGUGACUGGAUACGCACAUGUGUCUUACUGUGGAUUACAAAGAACUGCAAGUAGCAUAGAUCGUAGCUGUUAUUUUUUCUGUCGGUCAGAACUAUCUACCCUCGUCACAAAGAACUAACAUUCCUAACUGUGUUCAUAAAGGAGAUCAGAAGAUUUUUAGUGAGUCAAGUUGAAAUGUAACAAUAUUUAACUCCUAAUCUGUCCUAAUUUAGAACAAACCACGAACAAUCGGAAGAAAUGUUGAAUCCUGGAGGGUCCCCAAUCCCUAACUUUCAUCAAUCUAAAUUUACCCAUUAUUAUCAGAUUCCUCUAACGAUACAAAUAUAUCCAACAUUAAACAGUGAUAAUAAAUACAUUUAAAAUCGUUCAAUAAACAAGAUGAAACCAGCAAAUACAUGUGGUCCAAUACAGAUACAGUAUAGUUCUGGGGGUGGUGGACAGGGAUAGGCAAGUGGAAAAAUUGAGAGUCAGAAUGAAGAGUGUUUUUCCCACUUUCUGAUUUUAAUUUUACCUGUAAACGUGUCCUAAUGCACAAUGAAGUAGAUAUAUGGUCUUCGCAGCUUAAGGUGUUUUGUUUGUUUGCCUUUUUUUGUGUGUGAUGGUGCAAAUUCAUCGCCUUUUGGGAGCAAAAAGGGGGAUAAUCAUUUAAAUGAUAUGAAGGUUAUGCUAGGAUGCUAGUGACGACUUUCAAAUAUAUGAAUGAAUUGUAUAAUACAAAAUUUGAAUCAAUUUUAAAAAUUACAUCUAAAACAUUCAAAGUUUAAGAAACUCUGUUGAUCUUAGUUAUUUGAGCAGUCUAAGGCAAUCAAGCAACAGCAGUUGAAGUAUCCUGCGUAUCACCCGAUAAGCCAUUUGGU